rnacentral:rRNA from 1 species
AGAGUUUGAUCCUGGCUCAGAUUGAAUGCUGGCGGCAUGCCUUACACAUGCAAGUCGAACGGCAGCACGGAGCUUGCUCUGGUGGCGAGUGGCGAACGGGUGAGUAAUAUAUCGGAACGUACCCUAGAGUGGGGGAUAACGUAGCGAAAGUUACGCUAAUACCGCAUACGAUCUAAGGAUGAAAGUGGGGGAUCGCAAGACCUCAUGCUCGUGGAGCGGCCGAUAUCUGAUUAGCUAGUUGGUAGGGUAAAAGCCUACCAAGGCAUCGAUCAGUAGCUGGUCUGAGAGGACGACCAGCCACACUGGAACUGAGACACGGUCCAGACUCCUACGGGAGGCAGCAGUGGGGAAUUUUGGACAAUGGGCGAAAGCCUGAUCCAGCAAUGCCGCGUGAGUGAAGAAGGCCUUCGGGUUGUAAAGCUCUUUUGUCAGGGAAGAAACGGUGAGAGCUAAUAUCUCUUGCUAAUGACGGUACCUGAAGAAUAAGCACCGGCUAACUACGUGCCAGCAGCCGCGGUAAUACGCAGG